rnacentral:rRNA from 1 species
UAGGGUCAAGCGAACAAGUGCAUGUGGUGGAUGCCUUGGCGAUCACAGGCGAUAAGGACGCGGUAGCCUGCGAAAAGCUACGGGGAGCUGGCAAACAAGCUUGAUCCGUAGAUGUCCGAAUGGGGAAACCCACUCCUUUGGAGUAUCCAUAGCUGAAUACAUAGGCUAUGCGAAGCGAACGCGGUGAACUGAAACAUCUAAGUAACCGCAGGAAAAGAAAUCAACCGAGAUUCCCAAAGUAGUGGCGAGCGAAAUGGGAUGAGCCUUGCACUCUUAUUUGUAUUGUUAGCCGAACACUCUGGAAAGUGUGGCCAUAGCGGGUGAUAGCCCCGUAGGCGAAAACAGUACGAAAGAACUAGGUGUGCGACAAGUAGGGCGGGACACGUGAAAUCCUGUCUGAAGAUGGGGGGACCAUCCUCCAAGGCUAAUACUCGUGAUCGACCGAUAGUGAACCAGUACCGUGAGGGAAAGGUGAAAAGAACCCCGGGAGGGGAGUGAAAUAGAUCCUGAAACCGCAUGCAUACAAACAGUCGGAGCCUCGAAAGGGGUGACGGCGUACCUUUUGUAUAAUGGGUCAGCGACUUACGUUCAGUAGCAAGCUUAACCGUAUAGGGCAGGCGUAGCGAAAGCGAGUCCGAAUAGGGCGUUCAGUUGCUGGGCGUAGACCCGAAACCAAGUGAUCUAUCCAUGGCCAGGAUGAAGGUGCGGUAACACGUACUGGAGGUCCGAACCCACUAACGUUGAAAAGUUAGGGAUGAGCUGUGGAUAGGGGUGAAAGGCUAAACAAACUUGGAAAUAGCUGGUUCUCUCCGAAAACUAUUUAGGUAGUGCCUCGUGUCUCACCUUCGGGGUAGAGCACUGUCAUGGUUUGGGGGUCUAUUGCAGAUUACCCCGCCAUAGCAAACUCCGAAUACCGAAGAGUGCAAUCACGGGAGACAGACAUCGGGUGCUAACGUCCGGUGUCAAGAGGGAAACAACCCAGACCGCCAGCUAAGGUCCCCAAAUAUAGCUAAGUGGGAAACGAAGUGGG